GCUGCCACCUUGCAGUCCCCUUGUCCCCAGGCACGGCGGGUGCCGCCCGGUACCGGCGUGUCUGGCGCCGGCGGAGCCGCUGCUAUAGCCGGCUAUGCCGAGAACCCCACGGCAGCCGAGCCGGAGCGCAGCCCGGAGUCUGCCUUGUUCUUCCUCUCCCCCUUCCUCUUCCUCUCCCUUCCUGCUCUUUUCCUGUCCCUCUUCUCUCUGCCCCUGCCCCGUGUCUGUCUCUCUCCGUCCAAUGCCCCGUGUCUCUCCUUGUGCUUGUCCUCGUCCCUGUGCUUUUCAACCUCGGACUUCUCUUCCCCUUCUCCCUCCCUCUCUAUGUCUCCCUCCCACGUCCUGUUCUUGUCCGGUCUUCUCCCUUCCCGACCCUCCCCGUGUUCCUGCCCCCGCCCCUGCCCGUCCCACCGUAGCUGUCCCUUCAGCACCACUCGCACCUGCUGCAGAUCCUGCCACCUCCCACCGAGCACGACCCGGGCCAGAGGAAGAGAAAGAUGUUCUUGGGCCUCUGGGAUUCUGACAAGUCCCACGGGAGAUCAGAAGUGUGGGAGGAGGCAUUUUGCUGCUUCAGCCCGCAGAACACCAUUCCUUCCCACAGUGUGGGUGAGGGAGGCAAGGCUCUGUGCACAGCCUCUCCUUCUCCUACACACCUACGUGCUGCACCCUCCCAGCUCUGAUGAAUAGCAUCCCUGUCUCCCUCCACAGAUGAGCCACCCAUGACAGGAGAACAGGAGAGAAGAGGGCUAUUGGGCUGCAGCUGUGUCCCCUCUGCACUGGUGAAAAGUCAAAUAAAAAUGCAUUUUACCUAA